rnacentral:rRNA from 1 species
GACGAACGCUGGCGGCGUGCUUAACACAUGCAAGUCGAACGAAGUGGCGAAGGGGUGAGUAACGCGUAAUCAACCUGCCCUUCAGAGGGGGACAACAGUUGGAAACGACUGCUAAUACAGCAUACUGAAGGAGGGGAUUGCGUCUGAUUAGCUCGUUGGGGGGGGAACGGCCCAACAAGGGGAUGAUCAGUGGCCGGUCUGAGAGGAUGAACGGCCAACUUGGGACUGAGACACGGCCCAGACUCCUACGGGAGGCAGCAGUGGGGAAUCUUCCGCAAUGGACGAAAGUCUGACGGCGCAACGCCGCGUGAGUGAUGACGGCCUUCGGGUUGUAAAGCUCUGUUAAUCGGGACGCGGUACCGGAAUAGAAAGCCACGGCUAACUACGUGCCAGCAGCCGCGGUAAUUC